UACGGGGGGGGCAAGCGUUGUUCGGAAUUACUGGGCGUAAAGGGCUUGUAGGUGGCCAACUAAGUCAGACGUGAAAUCCCUCGGCUUAACCGGGGAACUGCGUCUGAGACUGGAUGGCUUGAGUGUGGGAGAGGGAUGCGGAAUUCCAGGUGUAGCGGUGAAAUGCGUAGAUAUCGGGAGGAACACCGGUGGCGAAGGCGGUUCUCUGGGCCUUACCUGACGCUGAGGAGCGAAAGCGUGGGGAGCGAACAGG
rnacentral:rRNA from 1 species